ACUUGCUGCUUUCCUACCUCAACAGCCAUUGAGAGCAGACUAACAAGUCCCUGUGUCCACAUAUUCUUGCUUAGCUCAUCGCCCUUUCAAUGAGUUCAAAGUUAUCAGAAAAUCCAGACAAGAUUCAAAAGCGCCUCAGAGUGGCGACUGGAGAAAACCACCUUCCCCUUUAUGACCUUGCCAGAGGAGGGAGCUACCAGCCUGCUUUCUGCAUUCGUCAGUGACCCACCACCACCUGACAUACCACUGCAGAGCAAUAUUGCAACUAGCUGCUAUGCAAAGGUCAUAACACACCAAUAGGGUUCUGCCCAGUGUGGUAUAAAAGUCUCUUUCAGAAAAUGGGUGGUCUGUCUCAGAUGGCCAGCCUUAUCUCCCUGCUAUGUGUACCACCUUAUC